UACGGAAGGCAGCAGUGGGGAAUAUUGCACAAUGGGCGCAAGCCUGAUGCAGCCAUGCCGCGUGUAUGAAGAAGGCCUUCGGGUUGUAAAGUACUUUCAGUCGUGAGGAAGGUGUUAAGGUUAAUAACCUUAGCAAUUGACGUUAGCGACAGAAGAAGCACCGGCUAACUCCGUGCCAGCAGCCGCGGUAAUACGGAGGGUGCGAGCGUUAAUCGGAAUUACUGGGCGUAAAGGGCACGCAGGCGGUUAAUUAAGUUGGAUGUGAAAUCCCCGGGCUUAACCUGGGAAUGGCAUUCAAGACUGGUUAGCUAGAGUCUUGUAGAGGGGGUUAGAAUUCCAUGUGUAGCGGUGAAAUGCGUAGAGAUGUGGAGGAAUACCGGUGGCGAAGGCGGCCCCCUGGACAAAGGACUGACACUCAUGUGCGAAAGCUGGGGAGCAAACAGGAUUAGAUACC
rnacentral:rRNA from 1 species